GUGACACGAAAAUGGAUGAUCGUGGCUGGACUGGAUUUCACAGAACCCAGCUCGCAGCGGUAGAUGCCUGCAUCCUCUGGACUCACCAUGAUCUUGGUCAGGGUUGGCUGUAUCCCCUUGGACAUCAAGAGUCGGCCUCUGCUCUGGCUCCGCCCCUCUUACGCCAACCCCUCCUGCUGGGGCGAAGUCUCUCACCUCCGCAAUCCAAGGACUUUCGACAAGCGUGAACCUGCUCCUGGCAGGUACUGCACCAGAUCAGAGGCUGCAACAUCAAACCUGAAGGGACAGGAUCAAGGAAGCGGGGCUAAAAGGAGAGGGCAGGGCCAAGGGCUGGGGCUGGGUCGAGUGCUGAGUCCCUAGGUGGGGCUCGAAUGCAGGCCUGUAGGAAGCAGGCUCUACCAGGCUCAGCAAAGCAUGCAAAUAGAAUAUGACCCGUUUCCCAAGAACUCUGAGAUGCAGAAGGAAUAGUGGAGACCAAGCAACCUGACGCAGAGA